CACGGGGGGAGCAAGCGUUGUUCGGAAUUACUGGGCGUAAAGGGCGUGUAGGCGGCUUUUUAAGUCAGACGUGAAAUCCCCCGGCUUAACCUGGGAACUGCGUCUGAUACUGGGAAGCUAGAGUUCGGGAGAGGGAUGUAGAAUUCCAGGUGUAGCGGUGAAAUGCGUAGAUAUCAGGAAGAACACCCGUGGCGAAGGCGGCUUUCUGGGACGGUACUGACGCUGAGACGCGAAAGCGUGGGGAGCGAACAGG
rnacentral:rRNA from 1 species